AGAGUUUGAUCCUGGCUCAGGAUGAACGCUAGCUACAGGCUUAACACAUGCAAGUCGAGGGGCAGCAUGGAAGAAGCUUGCUUCUUCUGAUGGCGACCGGCGCACGGGUGCGUAACGCGUAUCAAACCUGCCUCAUACUCGGGGAUAGCCUUGCGAAAGUAAGAUUAAUACCCGAUGUUGUUAUGUUACCGCAUGGUGAUAUAACCAAAGAUUUAUCGGUAUGAGAUGGUGAUGCGUCCGAUUAGGUAGUAGGCGGGGUAACGGCCCACCUAGCCUUCGAUCGGUAGGGGUUCUGAGAGGAAGGUCCCCCACACUGGAACUGAGACACGGUCCAGACUCCUACGGGAGGCAGCAGUGAGGAAUAUUGGUCAAUGGGCGUAAGCCUGAACCAGCCAAGUAGCGUGCAGGAUGACGGCCCUAUGGGUUGUAAACUGCUUUUAUGCGGGGAUAAAGUGGCCCACGUGUGGGCUUUUGCAGGUACCGCAUGAAUAAGGACCGGCUAAUUCCGUGCCAGCAGCCGCGGUAAUACGGAAGGUCCGGGCGUUAUCCGGAUUUAUUGGGUUUAAAGGGAGCGUAGGCCGCGCCUUAAGCGUGUUGUGAAAUCCGGGUGCUCAACAUCCGGCUUGCAGCGCGAACUGGGGCGCUUGAGUGCGCUGAAAGUAGGCGGAAUUCGUGGUGUAGCGGUGAAAUGCUUAGAUAUCACGAGGAACUCCGAUUGCGAAGGCAGCCUACUGUAGCGCUACUGACGCUGAUGCUCGAAAGCGUGGGUAUCGAACAGGAUUAGAUACCCUGGUAGUCCACGCGGUAAACGAUGGAUGCUCGUUGUCGGCCCUUCGGGUCGGUGACCAAGCGAAAGCGUUAAGCAUCCCACCUGGGGAGUACGCCGGCAACGGUGAAACUCAAAGGAAUUGACGGGGGCCCG
rnacentral:rRNA from 1 species